rnacentral:tRNA from 1 species
GCCCCGGUGGCUAAAUCGGUAGAAGCGCAGCGCUUAGGACGCUGUUUCCGCAAGGAAGUGUCGGUUCGAGUCCGACCCGGGGCA